UCCAAAUUCUUCGGGUGACACAGUUCGCAGAACGAUCUUCCAGUUGCUCGGCAAUUUUUCCCACAAUUGCUCUUGGAAAAAAUCCUAGAAUAUACGCGCAGGGUUAAAAUUUUAUUGCAAAGUAAAUCGUCCUUUUAUGAGACGUCGCAAAUUGCUCGAAUACCAAUGUAUGCAUCACACGCACACACGUGCGUAUUCGCGAUAGCAUGUGUGAAAGAAAAAUAUGAGGUCUGAAGGAUGGAGAUUAUACAAGACAAUAUAUGGAAGAUUUGUUGAAUCGUUGCGCGGGAUCUCGAGCAAGCCCCACAUGUGCACGUAACCGUCGGGGCAGCCAUUGUUGUGUCAAGAUGGACAAGUUAAUUUCAGGUUCUGACAGGAGGAUCGGUGGUAUCUCUUUUAUUAUAUACUGAGGAUCGUAUCGUGUUCGUGCUUUCCUGAGAACUGGGCAAAUCAAAUUCCGUGCGAUCUCUUGCCAUCCCUACACGGGAGAUGCGGUCUCGUAAUAGCGGAGCCGGAGUGACAAAAUCCGUUUCUCGACUCCGAGGAUGUGAGUUACCGCAUAAUCUCUUUGUGCGUGAACACACCGGCUCGAUCGCAGAUGCUAGGAGCUGCGUAACGUUAAACGUAAGAGAUGCCUAUGUAACACGUACGAUGAGAACGUUGAAUGUCAAAUUGUCACUUAACUUCUGCGAAAGUUAAUUUUUUUUUUUUUUUUUUUUAAGAUAAAGAUUGCUCUUACGCGCGCGAGAGAUAGGGUAUUGUGAAUAACCAGUUGGAAAGUAUCGUUUCUACAGGAAAUAUAAUCCUACCACUAUCUACAGAAUGUGUAGAGUUCUUCUUGUAUGUACUUCCUGUAUUUAACAUCAGCUACAAUGUUGUAGCUUGAUAGAUAAGGUAAAUGCAUCGCAGAAGAUAUUAAAAUAUAAUAAAAAAAAGUUAAUGUUAUAUAUAUACAUAUAUGUAUACAUAUGUAGAUAUAAUUAGAAUAUGUGAAAACACACACAUACACGUAUAAAUAACAAGAGAAAACUAAACUUGACUUUCCAGUUACAUUCUAUGUAGGACUAAGUAUUUUUAGAUUCGAACUUUACUUAAUUCAAUUACGAAAUCGUUUUUAGUCUCCCUGAAAAUGGGAGGAAAAUUAGAUAAUUAAUUUUAAUAACCAAACGAAAGUUUGCGCGAACAGUUACGUGACGAUGUAUCCGAGUAUAAAUUCCUUCGGAACAACGUCGAAUUAAACAGGUAGCAAAUAGUUCAUCCAGGUACAUUAAGAUACCGCUUGACUUGCACCGCACGCGCGCGCGCGCGCGGAAAAGUGAUAAAUUGUCCUCGCGUGCGAAAUUACGGACCGUUAGGAGGGACGUCCCGGAACGAUAUCGUUCCCCUAAGCGAAGUGACGAUAAGUCAACGUGAAAUAUCGUCUUGGCUCGCUCGGAUCACUGACCGUCCCGGACGGACGAACGGAAUCCUGCAUUUAUCAUCUUCGAGCCUGCCGACUGUUACUUCGGACCCUCUUACGCCAACGUAUAAGUGAAAGUCAGCAAGUAGGACGCGCGACGGGUCCAAUCUCGAUGUCGACGACGUCUGGAUGUUUGCCAGAGACACGGAACCACCACGGUAUCACAGACAGACGUUGGCCGUCCACCGAAAUUAAUUUGAUAUAGCGACGUUAAAACUGAGAGUUUCUUUUGCGAGAACAAAAUUCUUUCAAAAUUAUUAUUACAGGUAUCCCACGUCGUCUGUCUCUCUGGCGCAACGCGCUCGUCCCGAUUUUUUUUUCUCUCCCGAGCGAUCGGAUUCGAAGGCUGGCUUCGAAGAGGGUCAGGAAGAACGAUAGAAAAUCGCCGCCGCGCGGCUUUGAUGAUCGGUAUAUAUCUGGAACGCGAUUGCGCAAGUGCGAACAUGAGAACGCUCCGCAUCGUUUUUUUGCAGAGCACUUUUGCAACUUUGCGGGGAAGAAGGCUUUACUCUCAGGUCAUCUAGUUCAAUUGCUCCACUGGAUCUGCCUUUCGCAACGGCGAAACAUGACUUAUACACAAUCUCCUGUAAUUUCUCGCGAAUGAGCGGGAUUACUUCAGAUCUCUUGCCAGCUUCGACGUCGCAUGCGCCUAAGAAAAAAUGUUUCACGUAAUAUUUAGGUCAGAACAUCCGUCGUACGUUGACGCAAGAUUCGUCCGAAUCAACAUCUUGCAAUAUAGGUAUGCGCGCCUCAUAAGUUCCUUAUUUAAGAUACAACAAAGUCCUUUUUAUGUGCAAAACAUUUCUCACAAUGUAUGGAAAGCAAAUAUUGUGCAUUUGUGGAAGUGCAAAUGUUUUUUUGUGUCUUUUAGACGUAUAAUAUUGCGUUUAUGCAGAAAUAUAUAAGAGAGAAAGAAUAAAUAAUACGA